CUUCACUGGGCAGCCUUUGGCAGUGCUCAGUUAUCCUCACAGUAAAGAACUGCUUCUGGUGUUCAGAGAGAACCUUCUGUGUUUAAGUUUGUGCCCAUGUCUUGUCCUGGCACUACUUUAAAAAAUAUAUUUUCUAAAUACUAAGCAAGUUAUUCUAAAUUCUUGCAAUUAAAACAAACAACAAAAACAGAAAACAACUCUAUUUUUAAUUUUGUUUUCCACAAAAAAUUCUGUUUUCUACCAAAUGAAAUGUUUGUUUUCUACCCAAUUUCUUUUCAAUCAUUCUCUGUAAAAUAUUUCAUGAAACACAAAGCUGUCCUUGCUUGUGGAGGGGAGCUGGCAGCCCAGAUCAGGCGGUCUGCCAGAGAAGAAUAAGUAGGAGGAGGUGGAUACUGCUGUCCUACAAUGAGAUACCCAGGAGGCAUAAAACAG
rnacentral:lncRNA from 1 species